UCGAUCUGUUGUGGGCAGAUGAAAUGAAUAUGGCUGUCAAAGCCGCCAGCGGUCAGGAUCCUGCCUUCGCCCGCGAUGAUCUCGGUUCCGGGGCCAAUGAUGAUAUCCACGCCGGGUUGCGUGUCCGGGUUUCCAGCCUUGCCCAGCUUGGCAAUGCGCCCGUCUUUCAGCCCCACAUCCGCCUUGAAGAUGCCUGAGUGAUCAACGAUCAGUGCAUUGGUAAUCACCGUAUCCACAGCCCCGUCAGAGCGGGUGAUUUGCGAUUGCCCCAUGCCAUCGCG
rnacentral:sRNA from 1 species